UACGAAUCGUCCAAACGUUGUUCGGAUUCCCUGGGUUUAAAGGGCGCGUAGGCUGUGCGUUAAGUCGGUGGUGAAAUACUUCGGCUCAACCGGAGAAUUGCCGCUGAAACUGGCGCGCUAGAGGGAGGCAGAGGUGCAUGGAACUUCCGGUGGAGCGGUGAAAUGCGUUGAUAUCGGAAGGAACACCCGUGGCGAAAGCGGUGCACUGGACCUCUUCUGACGCUGAGGCGCGAAAGCCAGGGGAGCGAACGGG
rnacentral:rRNA from 1 species